AUUGAACGCUAGCGGGAUGCUUUACACAUGCAAGUCGAACGAGUGGCGGACGGGUGAGUAAUAUAUCGGAACGUGCCCAGUAGCGGGGGAUAACUACUCGAAAGAGUGGCUAAUCCCGCAUACUAUUCGAGCGGCAGAUAUCGGAUUAUCUAGUGGGUGGGGUAAAGGCUCACCAAGGCAACGAUCCGUAGCUGGUUUGAGAGGAAGACCAGCCACACUGGGACUGAGACACGGCCCAGACUCCUACGGGAGGCAGCAGUGGGGAAUUUUGGACAAUGGGGGAAACCCUGAUACAGCCAUGCCGCGUGUAUGAGAAGGCCUUCGGGUUGUAAAGUACUUUUGGCAGAGAAGCGGUAUCUGCAGAAUAAGCACCGGCUAACUACGUGCCAGCAGCCGCGGUAAUAC
rnacentral:rRNA from 1 species